AUUACAAUAACUUUAAAAUACACAAAUAAACAUAUCAUAAUAAUUUUCAAUAAGGACGAAAAGAAGGAGGAGGAGGAGGAGGAGGGAGAGGAGGAGGGAGGAGAGGACGAAAGGGAGACAGGAGGAGCAGCAGUCAAAGCAGCAGCAACACGGAGCCAUGAGAAAGAGGAAAAGCGUGUGGUGGAGGUGGUAGUGGGUACGUGGGUGGCAGCAAAGGUGCAGAAGUGGCAGUGGAUUUGAAGACUGCCGGAUGCUGAGGCAGCCAGACGAAGAUCAUGGGGAAGCAGCAGUCAGGGAGGAAGUCUGAGAGAGAAAGAUGCCAGGUGUCUGGGAAAACACAUCCUAUGGCCAGUCCCUUGCCUGUCGUCCCCCCCCCCCCACAUCUGCGGUUCGCAUCCCACAGAGGCAAACAGGCCCACAACCUGAGGACGACACACUGAUGAGCUGGCAGGGAGCCUCCAGUGGGAACAGCACAGGCAGAGUGAACGGAGGGACCCUGGGCUGCAGAGGGAAAUGGGGAUGAGGGAGGCUUGGAGGGAGGAAGCCAUCUCUGGUGCUAGCCACAAUGUGGUUGCUAUCCUUGUCACUCCCCCCCCCUCUCACAUCCUUGUGUCAAGCGCUGUGGGUUCUAUGUCUUUGUUGACAUUCCUUGACUUCCCAUGAAGUGGGUGGUAGCUUGCUCCACCCCUGGCCACUGUCUUGGAGCAAGCUACCACCCACUUUCUCCAGGACAGCUGCGACACAGAUAUUUAGAAAACCCAGCAUCAGCAGGACUCACUGCCUGGGUAGACUCAGCUGCACACUGCAAACCCCCCCCCCCCGACAUCACACACACACACACACACACACACACACACACACACACAGAGAGAGAGAGCUCGGCUGUGCUCAGUUCCAAUGUGGAGAGCCAGGCCACGUACACUACUGAGCCUGUGAGUCACCUUCUUUCCUGCUGGUGUGGGGCUCAGAAACCUUGGUCCUUCUGGACCUUGUGCCACCGGCACCUGCCACUCCUAGCACUUGCCCUCGAAGCCUAUUCACAACGCCGUUCAGUUUGCACAGCUGGGGGCCUGUCUGGCCUUUCCCUCUGUGUCUGCCCAUCACCAGCGAAGAUGGAUGUCAAUGGAGGGACUAAGGCACUGUGCAUCUGUGAAGCUGCAGUAAGAGUCCCAACAUCUAAGAAAGGAAUGCAGAAAUGUUUAAGGCUGAUAGCUGUGACACAGUAUAACCCUGACAAAGACAGUCCUUAGAAAGAUCACAUUAAAGCUGGACCUCAAGUGAACUUCAUUCUGAACUUGGGCCUGAUACGUUCCCAAGAUGCUGCUGACCUAGGAAACAACUGGGAAUGUGAGUGGUGGCGCCACCCUAGACCAGAACCGGUCUCCGUGUCGCCAAAGGGGGUGAGCCUGUGCCGUGGGGAGUUCCAUCUGGAGUCCACACCAUUCUCCAGUAGGCCCCUGAAGCCAGAUGCCUUUACAAGAUCAAUAACUCCGAUCUCUUUUCCCCAAUCUAACUGGUCUGCUUUUUUUCCGGAGGCUUCCUGUUUAGCAUGACCUUGGGCCCACAUCUGGACCAUUUAACACAGGGCAGCCAGUCCGGUCCUCAGAUAACAGCAACUGUGGAAUGAGAACUGCCCCUACGAUAGCAUGCGCAGCAUCCAAACAAGCUCCCCUUUGUCUCCGAUGCUGGCAGAUGGCCAGAGAGCUUCAGCGCAUCAGAGCCUCUGCUGUCAGGACUGACGGCUAACGAGUCCAAACCAGAGGCAGAAAAAGUCACCUUCCACGCUGGGUUUUGGGAUGGUGUGACCUGAAAUUUUCUUGAAGCUGAGCUGCAGUAUCAGCCAGGGCAGGACCUGAGCAAAGCACAGACAGAUCUCUAGGCCCUGGUCCCACCCCAGAGAUGACAGGACAGUGAUCACGAUGCAGAAGCAUGAGACCUACGCUUGUCUGUCACUGGAACAAAGGACAGAGCUGAGUUUUGCUGAACAGCAGAGCGUUCUGAAACAACUGACUUAACGCUCCAGAGCCCAGGCCUUUCCCUGCGGACAACGUGAUCUGCUAGUCUGCCGGGAAGACGAGAAAUGGCUCGUCCACACCUGGCCACAUCAAACUGUCCCAAUCUCAUGGUGGGAGACAACUACCAAAAAUGAAAAUGUAAAAAACUUCACGCGAUUAUUUUGCAAACUUUAUACAAAUAAAUAAAAAUCUGUAAAUUAAGUAGUUAAUUACUUAGAAAGCAAAAUGAUUCAAUUGCCAAUAGAAAGCUCCAAUAGCCUGCUUUUUGUAGAAUAGAGAAGAAUUUAAAGGGAUUUUUCCACAACAAAAGUACAAGCCCAAAGGGUCUCCUAAGAGAUAUAAAUUUUUGGACACCAUGCAUUUGGUAGAUGAUGAUAGAGACAAAUUUCCUAAUUUUUUGAAGCAAAUGCAACAAUUAAUGCUUAAAUAUAACAUACAAAUAUCAGUGCCAAAACCUUGAAGUAAAUAAUAGCAACAGACCUAAUUCCUAUGAUUUGAAAUUUUCCCUUGAGAAGCAACGUGUUGGCAUUUUAACUCUCAGUGCGACAGGGUUGGGCAGUGAGUCCUGAGAAGGUCCUCCCCGCAAGAGUGGCUCAGUGCUGUUAUCUUGGGAAUAAGUUCAUUGAAAAGACUGAAUUCAGUCUCCCUUAGUUUUCUUUUCCCUUCCUAUCUUUAACUCCCGUGUUUUGCCUUUGAAUGAACAAAACAAACAGGCCACCAACAGAUGUAAGCCUCUUGACUUUUGAUUUCCCAAAGGUAUGAGAAGGAAAUUUCUGUUUUUAUAAAUUCCUCUGUCUCUGGAUUCUAUUAUAAGAGUAAAAGUUAGUCUCAGAAAAACCAUUUGCAAAAAAUAAUCCAAUGUGAUCAAGGGGGAGGAUCUAUUCCAGGAAUGCAAGGAUGGUUUAAUAAGGGAACAACACAUACCGUAUGAUGUGAAUCUGAGAGGACUAUGUGGCCAGCCUGCUAACGUUGAAAACAAAAACUGUAAUAAAAAUUGACAUCUAUUUCUAACUCUAAAAAGACUCAAGAAACCAGAAACCUCAGCAUGAUAAAAGUGCAUAAACCUUAGUAUUAAAGUCGACAUCUCCUGUUUGUUUGUUUGAUACGGGUUUCUCUGCAUAGCCCUGGCUGUCCUGAAAUUUGUUCUGCAGAUCAGGCUGGAACCAGAGAUCUGCCUGUCUCUACCUCCUGAGUGUGGGGAUUAAAGGAACCUGGCCUGGAGUCAACAUCUCUUGAAUGAGGACUCUCUGGAGUUGUUUCUAGUAAGACUGGGAAGAAGGCAAGGGACCCAUCACCUCCACUGCUGUUCAGUAUUGUGCUACAUGAGUGAGCCAAAGCAAUUGGAUAAAGGAGUUGGUCAUAGAACUGAAAAUAUAAAGUAAAAUUAAGUCUAUUUGCAGAUGAUAUAAUGGUAUAUCUAGAAAAAUGAGAGACUCAAUGUUCAAAUUAAUUCAAGCAAUAAAAACUAAGCUAGUUAGAGAGACUAUAAAAGUACAAAUCCCAAUAAUCCUUAGAUACAGAAAAAUAAGUAAAAGUGUGUAACAGUGAAUAAAUCUACACUUACAAUAGUAGCAAUAAAAUGCACAGAAAUGCACUUAAUAAAUACACACAACUUAGAGCCGGAACACUUUUCAGUGUGUAUGAGAGAAACAAGGCAAACACGGACAGACAGGAUAGCAGCCCUUGUCCGUGGGUAGAAAGACUCAACAUCCCCAGGAUGUCAGUUUUCCCAGAACUUACUUAUAAAUACUUUAAUAAAAACAACAAGUAUCCAGAACCCCUGAUGUUUCAGGGAGAAAUCCUGUCUUGCAUUACCUCACAUGAAAUCAUUCCACAGAAUCCCUGUGACUCAACAUGUAAUAUAUUAAUAUAUUAACACCUAAAUAAAUAGAGAUUAGCAGGAUAGAACAGAAAUCCAGAAACAAGCUCAAGGGCCCAUGGGGAUUUGGCGCAUGCCAUCCUAAGCCUGUGACUGGAGCAGUGAUGGGCUCUCUGUGACGCGGUCCCCGACAAACCUGUGCUCACUACAUCUCUCCGACGGGGAGGUAUUUGGGGAAAAGUUAACGUGAGACCUUAUCCCAUCUGCAUAAAGUAGACUCCAGGUUCAGAAGAGGAGCAGAAGAAAACGUGCACAGUCUUUUGUGCUUCCUCCAUGAACUGGGCACACAGGAAGGCCACAGUAACCAGGAAGUCUUAGUAAGUCACACUGUGAAAAACUUUACAAUAUUUGCAUGAUCAAACCUGACGGAUAAUUCAGUUUUUGAAUGUAUUUUAGAGGAACUCUUUUGUCUCCCAAAAUGUUAGCUUAAAUCUACCACCGAAGCAAUGCCAUCUUACCUGAAUAAGCCAUCAUAAGUUUUCACUUAAAAGUGUGGUGGAGGGAAGAACUUGGUGGGGGCAGUGUGUGUGUGUGUGUGUGUGUGUGUGUGUGUGUGUGUGAGCUGUGCUUCAUGUCAGCACUGGCUCCGCUUUAGUUACC